CAAUAAAUAUGGUCACUGAGGGAUGUUAGCAUUUUUCAUACUACAAGUGUUAUGCACAGACAGACAUCUCUUGGAAAUGCAGACUGUCUAGAGAUAUAUGAUAGAACUAAGGAUGUUUUUUUCUACCUGUUUAUAAAUGAUAAUAGAUUUAUAACAUUCUAUUAAGUUUAGAUAAACGGUUCUCUUUCUCUCUUCCCGUACCAACAAUGCUAGAGGAAACAAAGCACUCACUAGUAACUGUGGCUCACUGUGAUCUAUAAUUAGCACAGAACGAAAUAUGUCAAAGAAGCUCAAGAAAUUAUUCAGAGACGCUCUCCUAAAUGGGUAAACAGAACCUUGAAAUUGCUGACUAACAUCCCGGUGAAGUAGGCAGGAUCAUCCAAUCAGCUAACAACACUGCAGAGGCAGAAUGACUACCCUUGGCUCAACACAGCAAGGCUGCUCUGGCUCAGCAGCUGAGCCCUGAAGCAGUCAGCCCCAAGAGGAAGAGGUGCUUACAGUGGUGGAGAAAGACGUGGAACAGCUGGCUUCUGAAUAUCCUUCAGUCUUACUGGGAAUGAAGUGGAUCAUCAAUCAGACUAAUCAACAUUGGACUUGGCCUACAGCUUUGCUGGUUUAUAGCUUCCAAUGGGGAAAAGUCACUGCUGCAUCUUACUCAUUUUUUUUUCUGUAUUAAAAUAAAAGGCCCUGAUUGUGUCAGUAAAUUUUUUUGCUAAGAAUUGUUGAUAAAACAAAAAAAAAAUUCAUCCAUAAUAGUUCAAAUUAACCACUCAUAAAUAAUCAGUUUCAAGUAUGUCUCAGAAUCUUAUAACUUUUAUUACAAAAUCAUUACUUAUAGUUUUUUAUUAAAACACUCAAAUCUUUGUGGAUUUUACCUCUUGAAAUUUAUGGUACAUUUUCUCAUUACUUAUUUAAAUGUAACCUGUAAUUGAGAUCCUUUUUUGUGGGAGGAAAUUGAUUUCUAUCAAUGAUUUACAGCAUACAAAAACAAACUGUAGGAAUUUCUCUUUUUGGUAGAUUUCAACUAAGCUCUUUUUUCCUUAGCUUUUCUGAAUUUGCCUUCAUCUCCUUAUUAUUUACUAAGGAGAUGGGCCCAAGUGAUAGGUCAUGAAGAUAAAGUGAAAACAUGUUCACUUAGUUUAUAUUUUGACAGGAAGUAAAAACAUCCUAAAUAUUUGAUCAAUUUAAAAUGUAUUAUUGGCAGGAAUAGUUAUUUACUUACUUUACUGAUAAUGUAUUUGUUUAAUAAGUCUAAAUUUCCUUUCUCUGUAUGCCAUUUUAGUUCUGACAUGUUCAAUUCAGCUCAUGGUUUUAAAAUAACAUCUGGAUAGGAGUUCCUAAUGUAUCAUGUCUCAAUUUUACACUGAAAACGCAUAAGUGAACACAGAAAAUUAUGAAUACUUCCAUGCUCGCUAAAAAGUAAAACCAAUCAAUAACCAUGGCUAGGACCUAGGGGAAAUUUUCAAAACAACUGGAUUUAUAAAACUGCAAUACAAUGACCCAUUCAGAUGUGUUUGAGCACCUAAGACCAUGUCUCCCACUAUAAUCCUGACUCUUGCUGUUCAUCUCUUCCUCACCUCCAGUUGCUUGCCAGGUAUGAA
rnacentral:lncRNA from 1 species